rnacentral:rRNA from 1 species
CCUACGGGUGGCAGCAGUGGGGAAUAUUGGACAAUGGGGGGAACCCUGAUCCAGCCAUGCCGCGUGUGUGAAGAAGGCCCUCGGGUUGUAAAGCACUUUCAGUGAGGAAGAACGCCUGGUGGUUAAUACCCAUCAGGAAAGACAUCACUCACAGAAGAAGCACCGGCUAACUCCGUGCCAGCAGCCGCGGUAAUACGGAGGGUGCGAGCGUUAAUCGGAAUUACUGGGCGUAAAGCGCGCGUAGGUGGCUUGAUAAGCCGGUUGUGAAAGCCCCGGGCUCAACCGGGGAACGGCAUUCGGAACUGUCAAGCUAGAGUGCAGGAGAGGAAGGUAGAAUUCCCGGUGUAGCGGUGAAAUGCGUAGAGAUCGGGAGGAAUACCAGUGGCGAAGGCGGCCUUCUGGACUGACACUGACACUGAGGUGCGAAAGCGUGGGUAGCAAACAGGAUUAGAUACCCCAGUAGUC